rnacentral:rRNA from 1 species
UGGGCGUUAAGUUGCAGGGUAUAGACCCGAAACCCGGUGAUCUAGCCAUGGGCAGGUUGAAGGUUGGGUAACACUAACUGGAGGACCGAACCGACUAAUGUUGAAAAAUUAGCGGAUGACCUGUGGCUGGGGGUGAAAGGCCAAUCAAACCGGGAGAUAGCUGGUUCUCCCCGAAAGCUAUUUAGGUAGCGCCUCGUGAAUUCAUCUCCGGGGGUAGAGCACUGUUUCGGCUAGGGGGCCAUCCCGGCUUACCAACCCGAUGCAAACUGCGAAUACCGGAGAAUGUUAUCACGGGAGACACACGGCGGGUGCUAACGUCCGUCGUGAAGAGGGAAACAACCCAGACCGCCAGCUAAGGUCCCAAAGUCAUGGUUAAGUGGGAAACGAUGUGGGAAGGCCCAGACAGCCAGGAUGUUGGCUUAGAAGCAGCCAUCAUUUAAAGAAAGCGUAAUAGCUCACUGGUCGAGUCGGCCUGCGCGGAAGAUGUAACGGGGCUAAACCAUGCACCGAAGCUGCGGCAGCGACACUCAGGUGUUGUUGGGUAGGGGAGCGUUCUGUAAGCCUGCGAAGGUGGCCUGUGAGGGUUGCUGGAGGUAUCAGAAGUGCGAAUGCUGACAUAAGUAACGAUAAAGCGGGUGAAAAGCCCGCUCGCCGGAAGACCAAGGGUUCCUGUCCAACGUUAAUCGGGGCAGGGUGAGUCGACCCCUAAGGCGAGGCCGAAAGGCGUAGUCGAUGGGAAACGGGUUAAUAUUCCCGUACUUGGUGUUACUGCGAAGGGGGGACGGAGAAGGCUAUGUUGGCCGGGCGACGGUUGUCCCGGUUUAAGCGUGUAGGUGUGUGUUCCAGGUAAAUCCGGUUCACUUUAACACUGAGGCGUGACGACGAGGCACUACGGUGCUGAAGCAACAAAUGCCCUGCUUCCAGGAAAAGCCUCUAAGCAUCAGGUAACAUCAAAUCGUACCCCAAACCGACACAGGUGGUCAGGUAGAGAAUACCAAGGCGCUUGAGAGAACUCGGGUGAAGGAACUAGGCAAAAUGGUGCCGUAACUUCGGGAGAAGGCACGCUGACACGUAGGUGAAGUGAUUUACUCA